rnacentral:rRNA from 1 species
UACGUAGGGUGCGAGCGUUACUCGGAAUUACUGGGCGUAAAGCGUGCGCAGGCGGUUAUGUAAGACAGUUGUGAAAUCCCCGGGCUUAACCUGGGAAUUGCAUCUGUGACUGCAUAGCUAGAGUACGGUAGAGGGGGAUGGAAUUCCGCGUGUAGCAGUGAAAUGCGUAGAUAUGCGGAGGAACACCGAUGGCGAAGGCAAUCCCCUGGACCUGUACUGACGCUCAUGCACGAAAGCGUGGGGAGCAAACAGG